rnacentral:rRNA from 1 species
AGUGAACGCUGGCGGUAGGCCUAACACAUGCAAGUCGAACGGCAGCACAGUAAGAGCUUGCUCUUACGGGUGGCGAGUGGCGGACGGGUGAGGAAUACAUCGGAAUCUACUUUUUCGUGGGGGAUAACGUAGGGAAACUUACGCUAAUACCGCAUACGACCUACGGGUGAAAGCAGGGGUUCUUCGGACCUUGCGCGAUUGAAUGAGCCGAUGUCGGAUUAGCUAGUUGGCGGGGUAAAGGCCCACCAAGGCGACGAUCCGUAGCUGAUCUGAGAGGAUGAUCAGCCACACUGGAACUGAGACACGGUCCAGACUCCUACGGGAGGCAGCAGUGGGGAAUAUUGGGCAAUGGGCGCAAGCCUGAUCCAGCCAUACCGCGUGGGUGAAGAAGGCCUUCGGGUUGUAAAGCCCUUUUGUUGGGAAAGAAAAGCAGCAGGUUAAUACCCCGCUGUUCUGACGGUACCCAAAGAAUAAGCACCGGCUAACUUCGUG